GACAGAGGGUGCGAACGUUGUUCGGAAUUACUGGGCGUAAAGCGCAUGUAGGCGGCAGCGCAAGUCGGGCGUGAAAUCCCACGGCUCAACCGUGGAAGUGCACUCGAAACUGCGCAGCUAGAGUCCUGGAGAGGAAGGUGGAAUGCUUGGUGUAGAGGUGAAAUUCGUAGAUAUCAAGCGGAACACCGGUGGCGAAGGCGGCCUUCUGGGACAGUGACGUGACGCUGAGAUGCGAAAGCGUGGGGAGCAACAGG
rnacentral:rRNA from 1 species